AAAAUUCCUUCCUGUCUAAUGCAGGAAGUGUUCAGCUCUGACCCAAGCAUGGCAAAGACAUUGAAUUUGCAAAACAGUACAAAACCCACCAACUUUUUGGCCGAAGACUCCUGAAUACUUUAUGUGCUCCCUGGAACUUGGCUUCUGCAGGACUCUUUAAAAUCGGAUAGUCCUGACUAACUGCAUUCUGUGCCUGAAGAACAGCUCUGACUGAAGGGAAGUGUUAAUGCAGUGAUAGAUGACUAGAACAUCUGUUAUCAACUUAUAUGAAUUUGAAAUCAUGACUUCUGUUGGAGAUAUUCUUUAUCCUAUUUUCCUUCUUUAAUAAUAUAUUUGGAACCAUCAUGAGGCCAAAUUGUGAAGCAGAACUAAUGUGAUAAAGACUUCCUGGACUUCCCUGCCUUAUAUGAUGGUUGUAGUUCAUCCUAUAGAAUAUAGACUCACAGCUAAGACUUUGCCUGGGGUCUCAGAGGAAAUUUUGACCUGGAAUUUUAAAUAAUGCUGAAACUGUGGAGACCUUGAAGAAGACAUUAUUGUGUUUUUAUUUAUAUGCAAGAUCGAACUCAGGACAUUGAGCUUGGAGGCAGGCAUGGUGCCACUGAGCUACAUCCCGGCCCAUAGUUUCCAGUUGAUGGGCACUUGGGCUGCUUCUCAGCUUUAGCUGGUACAAACAGUGCCGCUAUAAACAUGGAUGGACAUAUAUUGCUGUGGUUAUUCUCAGCGGUGUUUGGAUUCUUAGAUGAGAUUUGCCAGACUGGGAACUAAAGCACUUAGAACACUUUGGCAAGGCUUUGGAGCUGGAUUUCACUGUGCAACUGUGAAGCUGUUCUUGCAAAGGUUUGACAGGAAGAGACUUCAGUGCUGAGCCAGAAAAUAAGUGCAUCCAAAGAAGAGCUGACCCAUUAUUCAAGCAUCUCCAGUCUUCUUUGCUACAAAGAAGAUACUACACACCUGCUGCUACAGUUGUCUCUGGUUAAAAAACUCUUCCCUUCAAUUUAGGAAGCCUGACCAAGAGAUAAAUUAUUUCUCCUUGUCAAUGAACACACAUUUUUUAUUUGCUUAAUCCGAUACAAUUUCUUUCUCCUCAUCUCAUUUUUGAUUUUCCUUUCUUGGAGAAAAAUGAGAGAGGAAAAUGAGGUUUAGAUUAAGUAAACAGAUGCCAAACAUUUUGUGAGGCUGUUAUACAUUAGAUGUCCCAGCUACAACCUUUAUCUGUCUUUAUAACAUUGUAUUCAUGUGAAUAUUGAGUUACAUGGAUUCAUUUUGUAUGCCAUCGUAAAGCUGCAUCUUGAAGUCCUCUUCUCUUGGGAGAUCUUUGUGCAAUUUCCUUAUCAAUGUACAGCACUACUGAAAUAACUAUUUUAGGUGUUCUCUCAUGGACAGAUGACCCAGGACAGACACAGUCAUCUCACUGUGCUUUGUGUGAUUCAUCUGCAGUUCAAUUCUUUGGAGUUUCAGCUCUUAGCACAAUACCACUUCCUGUUUUUGAGAGGAGAAAUGGCAUAAAAAAUCACAUAAAAAGUCUUAUGAGGCCCUUGGACAUCAAAUAACUCUUGCAAAACAAAAUUUUAAUAAAUUAAGUGUAAAUGAAUCAGAAACAUGUGGGUUGAAUUUCCCUGGAAAUACCCAAGGGCUUAAAAAUUAAAAAAAAAAUUAAAAAGAAUUGCUUGGCAAAGAAUCUUGUGCAUUUUACUGAGCUCAAGCCUUUUGAAAAAGAGCAAAAGAAAACAGCCUUGAUUUGGUUGACUGAAUUAAGAAAACACUCCUGUACCCUUUAUUUAUUUUUAAUUCUACAAAAGUCAGAUUGAAGGUAUAAUUACGUUUCUUUUUGGGUGCCAAAUACAUCGAUGUUAGAGCAUUUUUCAAGUACAGUAACAUUUUGACUAACCAGAACCUCAAGUCAUGGUUGUCUUUUCAAAGGCAAUAGUGGCAGGCAAAGAAAAACUAAAAACUGUAGUUCAAGUAAAGGUCAUUAGAGCUGAGGUAAAGAAAACAUGGUGAUCAUUCAGUUCACUAACCAAGAGGAUCCUAACUGUAAAGGAACCCUGAGCCUUGGUAGUUAGCCACUGAACAAAGCACAAAAAGCAGUCAUGUGAAGACCAAAGCUCAGAAUGUAAGGAAAGUUGAAAUAAGUGGAAAAAUCUGUCUACUGAACGGAAGCUCUGGAAUAAAAGGAAAUGGCUGACCAAGGAAAAUAAAAGUUGCAAGAACUGAAAAAUUUAAAUAGCAGCUAGCAAUGGCCAAAAUGAAGCACAGGCAUAGGGAUUUGAAGGUUGGACACAGAAAAGCAAAACAAAGACCAAUAUUCACACCCCAAACCGUACUGUGAACACAAAG
ensembl:lncRNA